rnacentral:tRNA from 2 species
GGAGAGGUGUCCGAGUGGUUGAAGGAGCGCGCCUGGAAAGUGCGUAUAUGGGAAACUGUAUCGCGGGUUCGAAUCCCGCUCUCUCCGCCA